UUGACUUGUUCAAACCAGUGGCCAGACCGUCCCUGCGGCAUCAGGGGGGCAUUUGGGGUUCUGGAAG
rfam:Oryctolagus cuniculus unplaced genomic scaffold chrTn0352, whole genome shotgun sequence.